rnacentral:rRNA from 1 species
GUAAUGCUUAGGAAUCUGCCUAUUAGUGGGGGACAACAUCUCGAAAGGGAUGCUAAUACCGCAUACGUCCUACGGGAGAAAGCAGGGGACCUUCGGGCCUUGCGCUAAUAGAUGAGCCUAAGUCGGAUUAGCUAGUUGGUGGGGUAAAGGCCUACCAAGGCGACGAUCUGUAGCGGGUCUGAGAGGAUGAUCCGCCACACUGGGACUGAGACACGGCCCAGACUCCUACGGGAGGCAGCAGUGGGGAAUAUUGGACAAUGGGGGGAACCCUGAUCCAGCCAUGCCGCGUGUGUGGAGAAGGCCUUUUGGUUGUAAAGCACUUUAAGCGAGGAGGAGGCUACCGAGAUUAAUACUCUUGGAUAGUGGACGUUACUCGCAGAAUAAGCACCGGCUAACUCUGUGCCAGCAGCCGCGGUAAUACAGAGGGUGCAAGCGCUAAUCGGAUUUACUGGGCGUAAAGCGCGCGUAGGUGGCCAAUUAAGUCAAAUGUGAAAUCCCCGAGCUUAACUUGGGAAUUGCAUUCGAUACUGGUUGGCUAGAGUAUGGGAGAGGAUGGUAGAAUUCCAGGUGUAGCGGUGAAAUGCGUAGAGAUCUGGAGGAAUACCGAUGGCGAAGGCAGCCAUCUGGCCUAAUACUGACACUGAGGUG